rnacentral:rRNA from 1 species
GAGGAAAAGGAACCAACAGGGAUUGCCCUAGUAACGGCGAGUGAAGCGGCAACAGCUCAAAUUUGAAAGCUAGCCUUCGGGUUCGCAUUGUAAUUUGUAGAGGAUGAUUUGGGGAAGCCGCCUGUCUAAGUUCCUUGGAACAGGACGUCAUAGAGGGUGAGAAUCCCGUAUGUGACAGGAAAUGGCACCCUAUGUAAAUCUCCUUCGACGAGUCGAGUUGUUUGGGAAUGCAGCUCUAAAUGGGAGGUAAAUUUCUUCUAAAGCUAAAUAUUGGCGAGAGACCGAUAGCGCACAAGUAGAGUGAUCGAAAGAUGAAAAGCACUUUGGAAAGAGAGUUAAAAAGCACGUGAAAUUGUUGAAAGGGAAGCGCUUGCAAUCAGACUUGUUUAAACUGUUCGGCCGGUCUUCUGACCGGUUUACUCAGUUUGGACAGGCCAGCAUCAGUUUCGGCGGCCGGAUAAAGGCUCUGGGAAUGUGGCCUCCACUUCGGGUGGAGGUGUUAUAGCCCAGGGUGUAAUACGGCCAGCCGGGACUGAGGUCCGCGCUUCGGCUAGGAUGCUGGCGUAAUGGUUGUAAGCGACCCGUC